rnacentral:ncRNA from 1 species
AUUCCUGAUGCCAAAGUGAAGGAAUUCAAUGAAGGGCGGGUAAAGGGCGGGAGCUAUGACUCGAUUAAGGUAGCCAAAUGCCUCGUCAUCUAAUUAGUGACGCGCAUGAAUGGAU